UACGAAGGGGGCUAGCGUUGUUCGGAAUUACUGGGCGUAAAGGGCGCGUAGGCGGCGUGUCAAGUCAGGCGUGAAAGCCCCGGGCUCAACCUGGGAACCGCGCUUGAGACUGGCAUGCUCGAGUUCGGGAGAGGAUGGUGGAAUUCCCAGUGUAGAGGUGAAAUUCGUAGAUAUUCGCAAGAACACCAGUGGCGAAGGCGGCUCACUGGCCCGAUACUGACGCUGAGGCACGAAAGCGUGGGGAGCAAACAGG
rnacentral:rRNA from 1 species